UUAAGCUAUAAAGAGCACAGGGCGGAUGCCUAGGCACUGAGAGCCGACGAAGGACGUGACAAGCUGCGAUAAGCUGCGGGGAGAAGCAAAUAUUCUGUGAGCCGCAGAUUUCCGAAUGGGGGAACCCACGUGAGCAAACCUCACGUAUCCAUACGCCAAUCCAUAACGUAUGGAAGGGAACCCGGGGAACUGAAACAUCUAAGUACCCGGAGGAAGAGAAAGAAACAUCGAUUUCCUUAGUAGCGGCGAGCGAAAGGGAAAGAGCCCAAACCGAGAGAUUUAUCUUUCGGGGUUAGGACUGCAUAAUUGAUCUGCGAUUGAUAGGAGAAUGGUCUGGGAAGUCCAGCAGGAAAGCGUGAAAGCCGCGUAUCCGAAAUUGAAAGCAGCAAGGCAGUAUCCAGAGUACCACGAGACACGAGGAACCUUGUGGGAAUGAGCGGAGACCACUCCGUAAGGCUAAAUACUACUCAGUGACCGAUAGCGCAUAGUACUGUGAAGGAAAGGUGAAAAGGACCCCGGGAGGGGAGUGAAAGAGAACCUGAAACCCUGUGUUUACAAGCUGUCGAAGCACGUUAGUGCGACGGCGUACUUUUUGUAGAACGGUCCGGCGAGUUAUGAUACGCGGUAAGGUUAAGGACUUAAGGUCCGGAGCCGAAGCGAAAGCGAGUGUUAAGAGCACGAGGAAUCACGUAUCAUAGACCCGAAACCGGGUGAUCUAUCCAUGUCCAGGAUGAAGCUGCCGUAAGAGGUAGUGGAGGUCCGAACACACAUCCGUUGAAAAGGGUGGUGAUGAGGUGUGGAUAGGGGAGAAAUUCCAAUCGAACCCGGAGAUAGCUGGUUCUCCUCGAAAUAGCUUUAGGGCUAGCCUCUGGUUAGUCUGCCGCAGGUAGAGCACUGAAUUUCCUAGGGGGCGUCAAAGCCUACCGAAGAAUAUCAAACUGCGAAUGGCGGACAGAUGAUGCUGGGGAGUCAGACUGCACGAGAUAAGUUGGGUGGUCAAAAGGGAAAGAGCCCAGACCUACAGCUAAGGUCCCAAAGUGCGUGUUAAGUGGAAAAGGAUGUGGGAUUUCGAAGACAACUAGGAUGUUGGCUCAGAAGCAGCCACACAUUAAAAGAGUGCGUAAUAGCUCACUAGUCGAGAGGUCCUGCGCCGAAAAUGUCCGGGGCUGAAACACGACACCGAAGCUUAGGACUCCAUUUAGGAGUGGUAGAGGAGCAUUGUUAGCGCAGCGAAGCUGUACCGAUAAGGAGCAGUGGAGUGCUAAGAAGAGAGAAUGCCGGAAUGAGUAGCGAGAGGAAGGUGAGAAUCCUUCCGGCCGAAUAUCCAAGGUUUCCAGAGUAAAGCUGAUCUGCUCUGGGUAAGUCGGGGCCUAAGGCGAGGUCGAAAGACGUAGUCGAUGGAUAACAGGUGGAGAUUCCUGUACUAUGUGUACCCAGAACUGUGGGGACGCAUGUGGAGAGCAUGAGCCGGGAAAGAGAAAACCGGUACAAGCGGGGUAGGAGUAAGGACAGCAAAUCUUCCUUACAAUCCGAAGACGUGAUGUGGACCGAACCAAAGUAGGGAAGCAUGUGAGCCAUGUGCCAAGAAAAGCCGCUAUUGUGAUACACAUACCCGUACCGUAAACCGACACAGGUGGAUGAGGAGAGAAUCCUAAGGCCGACGGAAGAAGCAUUGUUAAGGAACUCGGCAAAAUGACCCCGUAACUUCGGGAGAAGGGGUGCCCUGUGAAAGCAGGGCCGCAGAGAAUAGGCUCAAGCAACUGUUUAGCAAAAACACAGGUCUAUGCGAAACCGAAAGGUGAGGUAUAUGGGCUGACGCCUGCCCGGUGCUGGAAGGUUAAGAGGAGAAGUCAGGCAACGAAGCUUCGAAUUUAAGCCCCAGUAAACGGCGGCCGUAACUAUAACGGUCCUAAGGUAGCGAAAUUCCUUGUCGGGUAAGUUCCG
rnacentral:rRNA from 1 species